rfam:Camelus ferus unplaced genomic scaffold scaffold1904, whole genome shotgun sequence.
GAGGGUAUGACUCAGUGGUAGAGUGCAUGCCUAGCAUGCAUAAGGUCCUGGGUUCAAUCCCCAGUACCUCCA